rnacentral:rRNA from 1 species
GACGAACGCUGGCGGCGUGCUUAACACAUGCAAGUCGAACGGAAAGGCCCUGCUUUUGUGGGGUGCUCGAGUGGCGAACGGGUGAGUAACACGUGAGUAACCUGCCCUUGACUUUGGGAUAACUUCAGGAAACUGGGGCUAAUACCGGAUAGGAGCUCCUGCUGCAUGGGGGGGGUUGGAAAGUUUCGGCGGUUGGGGAUGGACUCGCGGCUUAUCAGCUUGUUGGUGGGGUAGUGGCUUACCAAGGCUUUGACGGGUAGCCGGCCUGAGAGGGUGACCGGCGACAUUGGGACUGAGAUACGGACCAGACGCGUACGGGAGGCAGCAGUGGGGAAUAUUGCACAAUGGGCGGAAGCCUGAUGCAGCAGCGCCGCGUGCGGGAUGACGGCCUUCGGGUUGUAAACCGCUUUCGCCUGUGACGAAGCGUGAGUGACGGUAAUGGGUGAAGAAGCACCGGCUAACUACGUG